rnacentral:lncRNA from 1 species
CUGGGUUUUGCCACUUCAGCCUAUGGAGAGGUGAUUUAAAGCAGGACAAUCUGCAAUAGAAGUGGCUGGGGAAAGACUUCUAUCAUUGUGGAAAUCCCCUAGUUUAAUGGGGCAGGAGGAACUCAGAAAAUGAGAACCCCAAAAUACUUGAAAAGCUACCGAGGACUCAAAUGUAACUGCUGAUAAAAAAUAUAUGUACAUAGUAGUUUCCUUUUGGCUGGUUCUUAGUUCACUUGAAAGAAAAAGUGAAAUUCAAAGCUCUCAUAAGGAAAACCAAUGUGUUUUUGUGGGCAAAUGGCAAUAUUAUGACUUCAGGAAAAGUAUUUCAGAUAGAAGUAUAGCUGGUAUGUCAAUAUUAGCGUAAUGUUCCACAAGUGUUCACAGACAGUGUUUCAGAACAUAAACAAUGUCAAAUGUGAAUGUUUUGUAAGGCAAAGUAAGCUAUUCCUUUAGCAUAUAGCUCUGUCCAAGCCCCUCUUCAGCCAGUUGAAAUGUGUUGGUGUAAAACAUUUUCAGCUGUUUCCAGUUAACAUUCUUGUCACCACAGCACUGCCUAUGUAGUGGAUGGGAAUAAAUAGAGAGCUGUGGCUCACAGUGGGUCUUUAGCUUCACAUUAAUGUGUGACUCUGCAGACCAUGGUUUUUGUUUUGUAUGGCUUGUGUCUUGUUCAGAGCAGAUGGGUCCCCAAUGAACCAGAGGAAGCCUGUACAUCAGGGAGGAUGGAGCAGUUGUGGAUCUCUUUUAGACGAAGAGAAGAUGGUUUCAGAAAGCUGAUCUGCUACGUGCGUAUGGCUCCUCAGCGAUCCUCCAAGCCAGCUGCAAGAUGCAGAGCUCUGCUGUUAGCCCUUGGUGCAGAGGGGAGAAUCACACCAAAUAACUGUCUUGCUCACCGGCUCCUGGAAGGUCUUUUGACAGGUAAUUGGUGGCUUGCACUGACAAAUCCACUUCUGAGUCCUUAGCAGUCAGUCUUGCUGACUCUGCCUGCCUGCAGAGCUGGAUAUUAAUGCCAAUGCAGACCGUGUUCCUGGGAAAGCAGGAUGAGAUAGACAAGAGAACUUCCUCCUGUACUGUAUGGCCUCUGAAUUUCUACCUCACCUAAAUGAGAACAGUAGAUUCAAGACAACGGGAAAGGUUUUAAAUUGAAGAAGAUCCGGGAGAAAAGCUGACAUGCAGGAGGAUUAAUGCUCAUCUUGGGAGGAUGGAGUUGAUUUCAUGCCUUAGUUUGCCAGAUGACAAUUUUUAUUCCUAACUUUGGAAAUUGGUCACUGUGAUUCUGCAGCUUCUUGUUCUGCAAAGGUUAAUGGUGAUCCGUGUAUCAGAGCAUGUCAAAGUACUGGCCUGCAGCCAUCUGGCAGUGCUUCCUUGAGGGCAGUGGUAAGACAUGCAGUGUACCUGCCUAUCUGCUUAUUCCUAUAGCAUCAUUAGUGCCUUGCAUAAGCACUAAUUACCAGUUUGUGAUUUUGCUGGAGGGAAAUAACAUUUGAUUUUAUGCUGCACUGAAAGACGGGCUUUUCUGCUUUGCUAAGACCUUUAAAGCUCAAGCACAUGAUCAAGUUGCAAUGACACAGGAAGAUGCAUGGAAUAUUAGGGAGUGGAUAUAGCUGGUCUGCAGUCAGAGUUCGCUUUUAGUCUAUGACAAGCAUAAGAUGGAAGUUCCCUAAGACAGCAUGUUGGGAAGCUAUGGUACUUUUAUUUCCCAUGGACCAGAAGUGACCACAGAAGCUGCUGCCAUAGCUCAGUUGGUAUAAAAAGAAUUGCAUGGUCAAGGCUAAGGCUGCUUUUUAUAACAUUCGAUCACUUUGAUAUCCUUGCAAUAUGACAGCAGCUUGUUCACACUUUUAAGGCCCCUUUACUCUGCCGAAGUGUUGUAAAAAUGCCCUCCUGUUCAUCAGAUUCAUAGAAAUAGUUUAAAAAUCUGUUUUAAAAGCCUUCUGUAAUCAUUUAUGCUUUUACAGAGUAAGAGAACUGCCAUAAUUUUGAUUUUCUAAGCUAUGUAACUCUAUUUCUAGUGUGGUAUUGUAUAGUGCAGAGAUAAACACUGUAACCUAGACCCACAUACAAUAGAACCAAGUACAAAUCAAUUUUUUUUGCCAUUUCUUUGUUCAGAGGGAAAUACAUGGACCUACCGCAUUAAUUCACCAUAUGCAAACUCGUAUAAAUAGUGGGGUAUUAGAAACAUCCAUUUAACUACCUAGUUCUCAUCUGCAGGAUAGAAAGGAAUAUCUCCUGUUUUGAUUACUGGGACCACUCUGAAUCAUAGUGAAAUUAUAAAGCAAGAAGUAAGUGUGUUAAGACUUACCUGUUAUGGCAGAAUAAAUGCUUUGACAGGAGAGCUCUAACA